GUCGAUUUGCUGACAGGGGAGGAAUUUGCAUCCUGGAUUAAAAAAAAAAAAAAAAAAAAGGCCGAGAGGAGCUUAGGAACGGUUGCUAGGGCUCGGCUCGCCCCCCAGCUCACCCCCCCGAGUGGAGAUUGGUCGUCUUGUCGGAUUGCCCAGGCACUUGUUGCCGAAACAGCCAAGGCUCCAGCUCCAGAGGGCAGUGAAGGAGGAAGGCACGGGAGCAAGACUGUCCUGAAGGGGUCACCAGCGGUCUCAGUCCUGGAACAGACCCGGGUCUCUUCUUCCCACCUGCCGAGCAGCAUGUGAGCAGCAUGACUGGCCAGCUGCAGGAGAAGCCCCCAGAGCCAGGACCGCGACACAGCCACCCGCUGCCAAGGUCAAGGUGUGAAGGACUUUCCCCCAGCACGGUGGUGUCUGGUCCAUACCUCUGCCCGCGUGAGGAUGUAGGCACCCCGGCUCUGCUGAUGACCGGUUCAAGCCAACAGGGACCCCUGUCUCCAGCCACCCUCACAGACAUGUCAGCUGUGGAGUAGGGUGGACGCUUUCUCUCAUCUUCUCAGGGUUUCAGGAUUUUUUUUUUUUUUUUUUUUUUUUUUUUUUUUUUUUGGUUUUGGUUUUGGUUUUUGGUUUGUGGCUGAACACUCACUCGUAAGCAAGGAGGACAUCAUGGGGGACCAGCAACUGUACAAGACCAAUCACGUGGCCCACGGUGGUGAGAACCUCUUCUAUCAACAGCCACCCCUUGGUGUCCACAGUGGGCUGGGCCACAGCUAUGGGAAUACAAUUUCCGGGGCUGGGAUGGACGCCCCACAGGCCUCACCCAUCUCGCCUCACUUCCCUCAAGAUACUCGGGAUGGUCUCGGCUUGCCUAUUGGCUCCAAAAACCUUGGUCAGAUGGAUACCUCCAGGCAGGGAGGAUGGGGAAGCCAUGCAGGGCCUGGGAACCAUGUCCAGCUUCGUAGCAACUUGGCCAACUCAAACAUGAUGUGGGGGGCGCCUGCCCAGGUGGAGCCUGCUGAUGGCUACCAAUACACUUACUCCCAGGCCAGCGAGAUCCGGACCCAGAAACUCACCAGUGGUGUUUUGCACAAGCUGGACUCUUUCACCCAGGUAUUUGCCAACCAAAACCUGCGGAUUCAGGUCAACAAUAUGGCCCAGGUGCUGCACACCCAAUCAGCGGUGAUGGAUGGAACCCCCGACAGUGCCCUCCGUCAACUGCUGUCGCAGAAGCCUGUGGAGCCCUCAGCAUCAGCUAUAGCUUCUCGCUACCAGCAGGUGCCCCAGCAGCCUCAUCCUGGCUUCACAGGUGGAUUGCCCAAACCAGCCCUUCCAGUCGGGCAGCACACACCCCAAGGGCACCUGUAUUAUGACUACCAGCAGCCCCUGGCCCAGAUGUCCAUGCAAGGAGGACAACCACUGCAAGCCCCUCAGGUGCUGUCCGGCCAUAUGCAACAAUUGCAGCAGCACCAGUAUUACCCACAGCCGCCGCCUCAGCAGCAGCAAGCCGGACUGCAGCGGAUCUCCAUGCAGGAGAUGCAGCAGCAGCAGCCGCCGCAGCAGAUUCGCCCCUCACCACCUCAGCAGCAGCCGCAGCAGCUCCAGCUGCAGCAACGGCAGAGUUCACUGCAGAUACCUCAGUAUUAUCAGCCCCAACCCAUGAUGCAACACUUGCAAGAGCAGCAGCAGCCAUCCAUGCACCUGCAGCCCCCCUCGUACCACAGGGACCCUCAUCAGUAUACCCCGGAGCAGGCACAUGCUGUCCAGCUGAUCCAGCUGGGCUCCAUGCCCCAGUAUUACUAUCAGGAGCCUCAACAGCCCUAUAGCCACCCCCUCUACCAGCAGAGCCACCUGUCCCAGCACCAGCAGCGUGAAGACAGUCAGCUGAAGACGUAUUCUAGUGACAGACAGACCCCGGCUAUGCUGAGCUCCCAUGGGGACAUGGGGCCUUCUGAUACAGGAGUGGCAGACCCAGCCAGCUCAGAAAUGACUCGGGUCACUAGUACCCUUCCUCACCAACCGCUCCUGUCCCCCAGUGGGAUCCACCUCAACAACAUGGGGUCUCAGCAUCAGCAGCCAUCUCCCAGUGCGAUGUGGCCCCAGAUCCACUUACCUGAUGGGAGAGCCCAGCCUGGAUCCCCGGAAUCAAGCAGCGGCCAAACCAAAGGAGUGUUUGGGGACCAGUUUGAUGCCAAGAACAAGCUGACAUGCUCCAUCUGCCUGAAGGAGUUCAAAAGCCUGCCCGCCCUGAACGGCCACAUGCGAUCCCAUGGGGGAAUGAGGGCGUCCCCCAGCCUCAAACAGGAAAUCCCCCGGAAACAUCCACCCAUCGCCGCCAAAGUUGAGGAGCCCCUCAAGACCCUACCAGAGAAGAAGAAGUUCCGGCACCGGCCUGAGCCCCUCUUCAUCCCACCACCGCCUUCUUCCUAUACUCCCAACCCCACCUCUUACUCGGGGGCCACCCUGUACCAGAGCCAGCUGCGCUCCCCACGAAUCCUCGGGGACCACCUGCUCCUGGACCCCGCCCACGAACUGCCCCCCUACACUCCGCCACCCAUGCUGAGCCCCGUGCGCCAGGGCUCAGGGCUCUUCAGCAAUGUCCUCAUCUCUGGCCACGGCCCUGGAGUGCACCCCCAGCUGCCCCUCACUCCCCUCACGCCCACGCCACGCGUGCUGCUGUGCCGUUCCAGCAGCAUCGAUGGCAGCAAUGUGACAGUCACCCCAGGACCUGGAGAGCAGACGGUGGAUGUUGAACCACGCAUCAACAUUGGCUUAAGAUUCCAAGCAGAGAUCCCAGAACUGCAAGACGUCUCGGCCCUGGCUCAGGACACACACAAGGCCACACUGGUUUGGAAGCCGUGGCCUGAGCUGGAAAACCAGGCCCUCCAGCAGCAAGUGGAGAAUCUUCUGAAUUUGUGUUGUUCCAGUGCGCUGCCAGGCGGAGGAACCAAUUCAGAAUUUGCUUUGCACUCUCUCUUUGAGGCCAAAGGUGACGUGAUGGCUACCCUGGAAAUGCUGCUGCUUCGGAAGCCAGUCAGGUUAAAAUGUCAUCCUUUAGCAAAUUACCACUACGCCGGUAGGUUGCCAGGAUCCCUGGGCCCUGUUGCUUCCUAAGAGUGGGCACAUCACGCUUGGCUCUGUGUCAUUUGUUUGAACAAAUAGAUAAUACUGGGUCUAUUAUCCCGACACUGCCAGGCACAUGUCAGUGUAAAUACCUGCCCCUGUGAAUGUCCCAAGACCUGGGAGAUGGCGCACGGUGGCUGCCCACCUGGCAGUGGGACCUGUACAUCAGAGGGAAGAGCCACCAAGGCUACAACACAGAGCAGGCCACUAUUAGCAGCCCGUGGCUUUGGGGGCAGUAAAGGUGGGCUUAGAUCUUCCUCAAGGCCCUAGGCUUUCUGUAGGCUUGAAUUAGAAAAAGAAAGAAGAGAAGAAAAGGAAGGGGAGGGAAGGGAAGGGAAGGGAAGGGAAGGGAAGGGAAGGGAANNNNNNNNNNNNNNNNNNNNNNNNNNNNNNNNNNNNNNNNNNNNNGAAGG
ensembl:processed_transcript transcriptional regulating factor 1